UACGUAGGGUGCGAGCGUUGUCCGGAAUUAUUGGGCGUAAAGAGCUUGUAGGCGGUUUGUCGCGUCUGCUGUGAAAAUCCGGGGCUCAACCCCGGACUUGCAGUGGGUACGGGCAGACUAGAGUGUGGUAGGGGAGACUGGAAUUCCUGGUGUAGCGGUGAAAUGCGCAGAUAUCAGGAGGAACACCGAAGGCGAAGGCAGUGUCCUGGCGAGUGACUGACGCUGAGGUGCGAAAGCUAGGGGAGCGAACGGG
rnacentral:rRNA from 1 species